ACAUAAUUUUGUUUCCCUCAAUCUCGCUCCUCCCUCCUCCCUCUGUCCGUCUCUCCUCCCUUCCUCAGAGCUCAGAGAGAACACUGGAAGACUCCAUCCUCCCCUGUAUAUGCCAGCUCUCCUCUGGUCUCUACCCGUCUCUCCUGGUCUGUAAUCGUGUCCACUAGUUUCUACUGGUGUCUAAUUCUCUGAAGUCAGUCUUUUUUUUUUCAAUCGGUCUCUACUGGUUUUAUUCGCUUCAACGGGUAUCUACUGGACUCAACUAGUGUCUACUCUUUUCUACUGCUCCAUCCUGGUCUUUGUGCAUCUCAACUGGUUUCUGUUCUUCUAUAGAAAUCUCUACUGGUCUCUCUUUGGUCUCUACUGGUCUCUACAAUACUUUACUUGUCUCAACUUGUCUCAUCCUUGUGUUCACUGGUCUCUCCUGGUCUCCGUCAGUCUCAACUGGUCUGUACAGGUCUAAGGGAGACGUGUGAGAGCUGGAAUCUCCUGGUAGCAGCAAGACACACAGACAGGAGGACAGAAUCUGAGUCAUCGAAAGACAACACUUAGGAACGACCAGAGAACUACAAACCACAGAGGACUACAAAUAUGGAGUCAGCACAAGAUAAAGCUGUAACAGCAACAAAAAUGACAACUUCCCCUCAGAAGCAGGUGGUCAAGAGCAGGUCCAAGUCCACUGACGGUGUUCAGCAGGCGAAAAAGGCUUUCCACACGCCUCAGAAGUCUCUACCUGGAGGAGCAGACAUGCACCAGACGGCUAGCCCAGAGAAGAUCGACCCCACCAUCCGGAAAUGACGAACGGACACGGACUGCCAUCGUGGACAUGUUUGUGGUGUCCAGUCACAGUAACACCAGUGACACACCAGUGACCCAUUCUGUCCUAACGUGUCUGUGUAUCUGUCUUUCUGGACACCGUCCUGUCCUCCACUUCUGUUUAAACACAACCUGCUGGGAGUUUGUCAAUGUUGAGUCCAGUGACGUUUGUUUGUGAUGCUGGUUAAUAAUGACGGGCAAUAAAUAUGAUGAAGACGGA